rnacentral:rRNA from 1 species
ACUGCGAGUGAAGCGGCAAAAGCUCAAAUUUGAAAUCUGGUACCAUUCGGUGCUCGAGUUGUAAUUUGGAGAGGCAACUUCGGAGAGGGCGUUGGCCUAAGUUCCUUGGAACAGGACGUCNUAGAGGGUGAGAAUCCCGUGCUUGGCUGACUGUCCCUCUCCAUGUGAAGUGUCUUCGACGAGUCGAGUUGUUUGGGAAUGCAGCUCANAAUGGGUGGUNAACUCCNUCUAANGCUAAAUAUUGGCGAGAGACCGAUAGCGCACAAGUAGAGUGAUCGAAAGAUGAAAAGCACUUUGAAAAGAGAGUUAAAAAGUACGUGAAAUUGUUGAAAGGGAAGCGCUUGAGACCAGACUCGGUGAUAGGUGAUCAGCGGUUGCUUUUGCUCCGUGCACUUGCCUUUUACCGGGCCAGCAUCAGUUACAGCGGUGGGAUAAAGACUCAGGGAAUGUGGCUCCCUUCGGGGAGUGUUAUAGCCCUGGGUGUAAUGCCACCUGAUGUGACUGAGGACCGCGCUUCGGCUAGGAUGCUGGCAUAAUGGUCUUCAGCGACCCGUCUUGAAACACGGACCAAGGAGUCUAACAUCUAUGCGAGUGUUCGGGUGUAAAACCCCUACGCGGAAUGAAAGUGAACGGAGGUGGGAACCUUUUAGGUGCACCAUCGACCGAUCCUGAUGUUUACGGAUGGAUUUGAGUAGGAGCAUAGCUGUUGGGACCCGAAAGAUGGUGAACUAUGCCUGAAUAGGGUGAAGCCAGAUGAAACUCUGGUGGAGGCUCGCAGCGGUUCUGACGUGCAUAUCGAUCGUCAAAUUUGGGUAUAGGGGCGAAAGACUAAUCGAACCAUCUAGUAGCUGGUUCCUGCCGAAGUUUCCCUCAUGAUAGCAGUAACGAUCUCAGUUUUAUGACGUAAAGCGAAUGAUUAGAGGCCUUGAGGUUGGAAUAACCUUAACCUAUUCUCAAACUUUAAAUGUGU